GGGAAUCUACCUAGUUCUACGGAACAACACAGGGAAACUUGUGCUAAUACCGUAUACGCCCUACGGGGGAAAGAUUUAUCGGAAUUAGAUGAGCCCGCGUAAGAUUAGCUAGUUGGUGGGGUAAUGGCCUACCAAGGCGACGAUCUUUAGCUGGUCUGAGAGGAUGAUCAGCCACACUGGGACUGAGACACGGCCCAGACUCCUACGGGAGGCAGCAGUGGGGAAUAUUGGACAAUGGGCGCAAGCCUGAUCCAGCCAUGCCGCGUGAGUGAUGAAGGCCUUAGGGUUGUAAGGCUCUUUCAGUGGGGAAGAUAAUGACGGUACCCACUGAAGAAGCCCCGGCUAACUUCGUGCCAGCAGCCGCGGUAAUACGAAGGGGGCUAGCGUUGUUCGGAUUUACUGGGCGUAAAGCGCACGUAGGCGGUUUGUUAAGUCAGGGGUGAAAUCCCGGAGCUCAACUCCGGAACUGCCUUUGAUACUGGCAAGCUAGAGUCCGGAAGAGGUAAGUGGAACUCCUAGU
rnacentral:rRNA from 1 species